GUCGGACCUGCCCAGUGAGUUUUAACGGCCGCGGUACUCUGACCGUGCAAGGUAGCAUAAUCAUUUGCCUUAUAAUUGAAGGCUGGAAUGAAUGGUUUGACAAGAAUACAGCUGUCUCUUUUAGAAUAUUUAGAAUUUUAUUUUUGGAUGAAAAAGUCCAAAUACUAGUAAAAGACAAGAAGACCCUAUCGAGCUUCAGAAAAAUUAAUAGGUUUAAUAAAAAUUAAUAUAGGUAAAAAAUAAAACUAUUAAAUACUUUGGUUGGGGCAACCGAGGAGCAUAUAGAGCCUCCUUUAACUUAUAAGUCCUACUUGUGUUGAUCCAAUAAUUUUGAUCAAAGGAAUUAGUUACCGUAGGGAUAACAGCAUUAUCUUUUUCAAGAGCCCAUAUCGAAAAAAAGGUUUGUGACCUCGAUGUUGGACCAGAAUAUCCUAAAGAUGCAGAAGUC
rnacentral:rRNA from 1 species